rnacentral:rRNA from 1 species
CCUACGGGCGGCAGCAGUGGGGAAUAUUGCACAAUGGGGGAAACCCUGAUGCAGCGACGCCGCGUGAGUGAAGAAGUAUUUCGGUACGUAAAGCUCUAUCAGCAGGGAAGAAAAUGACGGUACCUGACUAAGAAGCCCCGGCUAACUACGUGCCGGCAGCCGCGGUAAUACGUAGGGGGCAAGCGUUAUCCGGAUUUACUGGGUUAAAGGGGGUCGUAGGCGGAGUGUCAAGUCAGCGGUAAAAUGUCGGGGCUCAACCCCGUCGUGCCGUUGAAACUGACGCCCUUGAGUGAGUGAGAAGUAAGCGGAAUGCGUGGUGUAGCGGUGAAAUGCAUAGAUAUCACGCAGAACGCCGAUUGCGAAGGCAGCUUACCGGCGCUCAACUGACGCUGAGGCACGAAAGUGCGGGUAUCGAACAGGAUUAGAUACCCUGGUAGUC